GCGGCGAGGUGAGUAACGCGUGGGUAACCUGCCUCAUACAGGGGGAUAACAGUUGGAAACGGCUGCUAAUACCGCAUAAGCGCACAGUACCGCAUGGUACCGUGUGAAAAACUCCGGUGGUAUGAGAUGGACCCGCGUCUGAUUAGCUAGUUGGUGGGGUAACGGCCUACCAAGGCGACGAUCAGUAGCCGACCUGAGAGGGUGACCGGCCACAUUGGGACUGAGACACGGCCCAA
rnacentral:rRNA from 1 species